rnacentral:rRNA from 1 species
AUACGUAGGGGACGAGCGUUGUCCGGAAUUACUGGGCGUAAAGGGCGCGCAGGCGGAUAUUUAAGUCAGCUGUAAAAGGCAUGAGCUCAACUCAUGUAUGCGGUUGAAACUGGGUAUCUAGAGUGCUGGAGAGGUAGGCGGAAUUCCCGGUGUAGCGGUGCAAUGCGUAGAUAUCGGGAAGAACACCAGUGGCGAAGGCGGCUUACUGGCCAGCAACUGACGCUGAGGCGCGAAAGCCAGGGGAGCGAACGGGAUUAGAUACCCCGGUAGUCCUGGCCGUAAACGAUGAAUGCUAGGUGUGGGUGUCGAGAGGCAUCCGUGCCGGAGUUAACGCGAUAAGCAUUCCGCCUGGGGAGUACGAUCGCAAGAUUGAAACUCAAAGGAAUUGGCGGGG